rnacentral:rRNA from 1 species
CAUAGGUUAAUGAGGCGAACCGGGGGAACUGAAACAUCUAAGUACCCCGAGGAAAAGAAAUCAACCGAGAUUCCCCCAGUAGCGGCGAGCGAACGGGGAGGAGCCCAGAGCCUGAAUCAGUGUGUGUGUUAGUGGAAGCGUCUGGAAAGGCGCGCGAUACAGGGUGACAGCCCCGUACACAAAAAUGCACAUACUGUGAGCUCGAUGAGUAGGGCGGGACACGUGGUAUCCUGUCUGAAUAUGGGGGGACCAUCCUCCAAGGCUAAAUACUCCUGACUGACCGAUAGUGAACCAGUACCGUGAGGGAAAGGCGAAAAGAACCCCGGCGAGGGGAGUGAAAAAGAACCUGAAACCGUGUACGUACAAGCAGUGGGAGCCUCUUAAUGGGGUGACUGCGUACCUUUUGUAUAAUGGGUCAGCGACUUAUAUUCUGUAGCAAGGUUAACCGAAUAGGGGAGCCGAAGGGAAACCGAGUCUUAACUGGGCGUUAAGUUGCAGGGUAUAGACCCGAAACCCGGUGAUCUAGC